rnacentral:rRNA from 1 species
UGGGGAAUAUUGGACAAUGGGGGGAACCCUGAUCCAGCCAUGCCGCGUGUGUGAAGAAGGCCUUAUGGAUGUAAAGCACUUUAAGCGAGGAGGAGGGUACUGGUAUUAAUACUACCAGCUACUGGACGUUACUCGCAGAAUAAGCACCGGCUAACUCUGUGCCAGCAGCCGCGGUAAUACAGAGGGUGCGAGCGUUAAUCGGAUUUACUGGGCGUAAAGCGUGCGUAGGCGGCUAAUUGAGUCGGAUGUGAAAUCCCCGAGCUUAACUUGGGAAUUGCAUUCGAUACUGGUUAGCUAGAGUGUGGGAGAGGAUGGUAGAAUUCCAGGUGUAGCGGUGAAAUGCGUAGAGAUCUGGAGGAAUACCGAUGGCGAAGGCAGCCAUCUGGCCUAACACUGACGCUGAGGUACGAAAGCAUGGGGAGCAAACAGG